CCCUUAGAUGUUCUGGGCUGCACACGUGCUACACUGGCAGGUUCAGCGAGCUUCAUGCCCUGAUCUGAAAGGAAUGGGAGAUCUUUUCAAAACCUGCCGUGCUUGGGAUAGAUGUUUGCAAUUAUUCAUCUUCAACGAGGAUUGCCUUGUAAGCGCACGUCAUCAGCGUGCAUUGAAUACGACCCUGUAUUCUGUACACACCGCCCGUCGCUCCUACCGAUUGAAGUUUUCGGUGAGUUGACAGGAGGAUUUUUUUGAAACUGGUUCGCCAGUGGAUUUUAGAUCCAAAUGCCAACGAAUCGAUGGCUUUAGAGGAAGGAGAAGUCGUAACA
rnacentral:rRNA from 1 species